rnacentral:rRNA from 1 species
GUGUGUGUGUUAGUGGAAGCGUCUGGAAAGGCGCGCGAUACAGGGUGACAGCCCCGUACACAAAAAUGCACAUACUGUGAGCUCGAUGAGUAGGGCGGGACACGUGGUAUCCUGUCUGAAUAUGGGGGGACCAUCCUCCAAGGCUAAAUACUCCUGACUGACCGAUAGUGAACCAGUACCGUGAGGGAAAGGCGAAAAGAACCCCGGCGAGGGGAGUGAAAAAGAACCUGAAACCGUGUACGUACAAGCAGUGGGAGCCUCUUUUAUGGGGUGACUGCGUACCUUUUGUAUAAUGGGUCAGCGACUUAUAUUCUGUAGCAAGGUUAACCGAAUAGGGGAGCCGAAGGGAAACCGAGUCUUAACUGGGCGUUAAGUUGCAGGGUAUAGACCCGAAACCCGGUGAUCUAGCCAUGGGCAGGUUGAAGGUUGGGUAACACUAACUGGAGGACCGAACCGACUAAUGUUGAAAAAUUAGCGGAUGACUUGUGGCUGGGGGUGAAAGGCCAAUCAAACCGGGAGAUAGCUGGUUCUCCCCGAAAGCUAUUUAGGUAGCGCCUCGUGAAUUCAUCUCCGGGGGUAGAGCACUGUUUCGGCAAGGGGGUCAUCCCGACUUACCAACCCGAUGCAAACUGCGAAUACCGGAGAAUGUUAUCACGGGAGACACACGGCGGGUGCUAACGUCCGUCGUGAAGAGGGAAACAACCCAGACCGCCAGCUAAGGUCCCAAAGUCAUGGUUAAGUGGGAAACGAUGUGGGAAGGCCCAGACAGCCAGGAUGUUGGCUUAGAAGCAGCCAUCAUUUAAAGAAAGCGUAAUAGCUCACUGGUCGAGUCGGCCUGCGCGGAAGAUGUAACGGGGCUAAACCAUG